rnacentral:rRNA from 1 species
UACAGAGGGUGCGAGCGUUGUCCGGAAUCACUGGGCGUAAAGGGCGCGUAGGCGGCCUGAUAAGUAGGGGGUGAAAUCCUGUGGCUUAACUGCAGGGCUGCCUCCUAGACUGUUAGGCUCGAGCACGGUAGAGGCAGAUGGAAUUCCCGGUGUAGCGGUGGAAUGCGUAGAGAUCGGGAAGAACAUCGGUGGCGAAGGCGGUCUGCUGGGCCGAUACUGACGCUGAGGAGCGAAAGCGUGGGGAGCGAACAGG